AGAAGCCCCUCAUGUGGUGGCAUCUCGGUAAACUCCCCCAGGUCGGAAACGAAGCAAGGGUAGCCGGGCUCUGUCAGGUGCAUGAGGGGUCUUUUGU
rnacentral:SRP_RNA from 2 species